UCCCAAAUAGUCUAGGCGGUUAGGAUACGUGGCUUUCACCCACGCGACCCGGGUUCGAGCCCCGGUUUGGGAA
rfam:Phytophthora infestans T30-4 supercont1.152 genomic scaffold, whole genome shotgun sequence.